rnacentral:lncRNA from 1 species
CAAGUCCUUUAGAGAUAGCAUGUAGACUCUGUUCCCAGAGCAAGAAUGUAUUUCAUUCCUGGAUUUAACUCUUCUUUUUCUAGUCCAAAUUCCCAGGGCAGGGGACACAGUUGAGUGACAGAUCAUUUCUCAUCUCAAAGGCUUGUUUUCUAUAGCCAGAGAUAUGAGAUUCCUAUGAAACUAGGAGCAAGAAGAAGUGGUGAAUGAAGCUCAUUGGGAGAAAUCUUCAUUUUGUUAAGGAUGGACGAGACAUCUCUACACUUCUUAUCAAGACUAGGCUCAUUGACUUCCAUGGAAGAAAGCACAGUAUUUUACAAAAUUGUGAAAAGACAAAAGUCACAGCUCAGCUAUCCCACAAGAGUGAAGAAUAAUUUUUCUUAUCUGCAAUCAGAAGGGCAGAGUUUUCUAGGGUGACAUGUUUUCCUCAAAGAGUAAGUGAGGAAUUUAUUAGAAGACCUCAUAUGGAGAGGUGCUUUGGAGAAGGUACACUUCUGCACAUGUUUAAUUUAAGGUACAUAUUUUUGACAAUGCCAUUAGAGUCAUACUUCAAGGAAAAAAAUGUAGCAGAAAGGCACAUCCAUGCAUGCUGCGGUGACAUUGUAAAGCUGCGGGGCAAUGAUUCCAGGGGGCUUACAUUGUAAGUGUCACAGGUACACAACAGGAACUUUCUGGUUGCUUCUGGCUUGCAUCAUCAGUAGCCUGCCACUAAUGUAAUAGGAAAGAGAAAGCAAGGAAUGAAUGAUCCAGCUUGGCUUCUAGAAUACAGAUAUUCCAGAAACUAAUCAUUUGUUCCAGGACCCCUUCCCUUUUAAAUCCCAGCAAUCUAAGUAAUGUUCCCAGUCAGUGGUGACACUCUUCAAGCUUUUAAUGACCAAAGGAAAGAGCACCAUUUGAGAAGAGUUGAAACAAAUCUAUCCCCAGUCCUCUGUGCUUUUAUGGUAUCUAAAGGGUGUCUGGUAGCAACAGGAUUUUGCUAGUUUGCGUUCCCAGUAGGUGGCUACAAUUUAUAAUGCUAGAAGCCCUUUUAAAGUUCACAGACAGGAAAGGCUGUCUUUACAUCCAUAGUAAAUGGAAAUUGAAUUUUCAUUCUAUAAACACUUCAGAUUUUAGUAUAAACAAUAGGAUAUGGCUUCACAUAAGUUACUAUUAUCUUAAAUGCAGGUUAUGUUUAAUUCCAGCUUAUUGAAUCCCUAGGUAAUGUAAGGCAGCUGUGAUAAGGUGAAAACACUUUCCAUGUGAUUUACAAGAGGUUAUUGAACACAAAAAGGCAUUUUUAUUUACACUAAGGUUCUGAAUUGGUUUAAUGUUGGAAUAGUCUGAGGUAAGUAAUUUCUUACUCAACUACCACUUAGCUGGGGUACCAGCUCCUUCAUCAGCUUUGUCAAUGGAAGAAUAAGCAAGCUAGGCCUCAUGAUGCACAUUAAAGGUCCAGCUUACAACCGACCCUGUCUGGAUUUUAUUCAUGUCAUGUUUUUGGAUAAUUUGUGGCUAUGGAGAUAUCUGAGGUAUUGGACACACUCAUUCCUUUGUGUAAGAAGGAUAGAUGCCAGACAUGUCUGUCAGGCUUUUAGUCACUGUAGCAAAUACCGGAAGAAGCAGCUUAAAUGAAGAAAUCUCUCUUUUAGCUUAUGUCAUCAGAGAUUUUCAUCCUUUCAUGAUCAGUUUCAGGACUGAGGAGAGGAAGAAACAUCAUGGCUAUAGCAGGAAAAUGAAGUAGAGGCUACUCAUCUUAUAGUAGCUAAGGAGGCAGUAAGAAAGGAUGAGGAUUGAAGAGGGAGGCAGAAAGGAUAUGCACACUGACUUUCCUACAUCCGCUAAUAAAAACCUACAUUUCAAAAGACCCCCACUCUCAAUUUAAACUAGAUCAUCAAUGGGACUGGUCAGCACUGGAACUGCCCUCCUCAGUUCCUAGGACUUUUGGUGGCUUCAACUUACUGUGAGACACUGAACAGAGGACUGCAGAGGAAAAUACCUGGGGAAUCUCCCCAGCUUUCAGAAACAUCGAAGGGAACAAUCACCUCUUGAAGAAUCGGCUCUGGAAACCAUCUCUGAUGCUGUUCUAGCUUCCAGAGGAGAAGCCUCCCACACUCCCCUUCAGCAUGACACUCUAAGAGAGGAGCAGCUUUUUGUACUGUCUGCAGAUCAUUUUAACUGUUGAAACACUACUUGCCUUUUAACCUACACACCCUCGGUUAACAAUUUGCUAUAUUAAACUCCCUCUGCUUUAAAUACUUGCGGUUCUCCUGAGGGGCCAGACAUCUCCGUCCCUAAAGAGAGAGAAACACUCUGGAGCCAUGCAAAGAGCCUUCAUUCUCCAGAGUCACAAAAGAUUAGCAUUCUGCUUUUUUCAUCCUAGUGGCUUACAGCAAGGUCUGUGACCCUGGCCAGUGAUAAAGAUACUUGUUUCUUGGGCUUACUGGGAAGAUUUUAACUCAUUUCACAUGUAUAAGAUUAUAUAAAAUGACCUGGUUCACAGUAGAUGCUCAAAAACCUAGAAUUGAAUUCCUUGAUAACAACAGGAAAUAGAUUCAUCUAUUUUGCUGGUUACUCAGUUCCAUGUUAUUAAGCCUUCAGCUAUUUCAGGGUCACAAUCUAUAUCCUUUGUAACAAAGAUUCGAAAGUGGAGGGAAAGAAAGACAAAGGCAAGCCAGGCAUGGUGGCAUAUACCUGGAAUCCCACAAUUGGAAGUCACAGCCAGAUAGAUGUCUUUGAAUAUGAGGCCAGCCAGUCUAUGUAGAAAGUUCCAGGCUAACUGCAGUUGCAUGUUAAAUUAUUGUGAUAAAUAAAUAAAUAAAUAAAUAAAUAAAUGAAUGCAACUCCAUUUAGGAGAUAUGCAAAGUCCCUUAAGUAAUUUUCUUGACUUAUUCACCUAUUUACAAAUAUAACAAUUAAGUUAAUUUUUACUGUUUGAGAAUUUCACAUAUGCAUGUAAUAUGUUUUGACAAAGCAAACCCACAUUCCCCCUCCUCUAACCAUUCUUGCCACUCUUUCCCCAAACUUCAUGUGUUCUUUUGUUUACUUUGAACCCACUGAAUCCACUUAGUGUUGCCUGGAUAGGCACAGGUUGCCUGGGAUCAUCUACUAAAAUAGGAAUAGCAUCUCAAGGGCUGCCUUUGAGAGAUUUCCCUGCUUUUAAUAAAGGCAAAAGUUGGAUCACAGAAAGAUAUAGUAGAAAGCUUGUGCUGCUUCGCCAGUGGUUAGAUUCCAGAACUUUCUAGGCCUGCUAUCUGAAGUUGCAAAUGAGAAUAAGAGUUUGAAGAGGAAGUGUUAAACUGUCUUGAAAAAGAUAGAAGACAGUAGACUUAUUUCCUUUUAAUCUUGUAAAGAAAAUCCAAGAGACAUGAGCAAGUAGAGGGACAAAAAGAAAAGGAAAAAGAAAAAUAAGAGAAAUGUGAUUGAGUUGGGGGACUUGAAAGGCCAGGGAGAUAAGGAGGUAGCAGAGACCAGAAAGAUAAGCAGCUGCGUCUCUCUAAUAAAGAGUCCUCCCCAGCUCUCACUUCUAAGAAAAUUCUAUCUCAGGAACCUGUCACGGGAGACAUAAUCCACCUCUGAAGGACAGCUUGGAAAGCAAAAAGAAAUAGAGGUGGCAUAUGUGGCUGCAGGGAGACCAUGUCAUUUCAAGGCCACUCUCAUCUGUGAAGCACCAUGAAUGUGAUCCCUUGCCCAUUUUCUUGAAGUGAAUGAUUAAAUGCAAUAUUCAAUACUUAACUAUUUCUUUUUAAUCUCUGUAUUUGUGAAUGCUUGCACAUGCUAAUCAUAGGACUACUUGGGUGGCAGUCCUUCACUUCUACCUUGGUUGAUCCAGGUUCUAUUAUUCACUGAUGCUGAUGCCAGGCUAGGUGAUCUGUAAGUUUCUGGGGAGUCUCCUGUCUGUAACUUCUGCACUUCUGAGUGGGCUUGCAAAUGUACAUUUCAGCAUCUGAAUUUACAUAGACUCUGGGGAUCUGAACUCAGGUCCUUGCCUGGCACGUAGUGGGUAGACUACUUGUCUACCCACUGAGCCAUUUCCCUAGCACAGUCCUUAACUCUUUAAGGAAUGCAUUUCUCUUGUCUCCAGAAAAAAAAACAAAAAACAAAAAAAAAAAAAACUCACAAGCAUUCAUUUGUAAAUUGAUAGUUCUUUUCCAAAAACCACCCAUGGGAAGAAGCUGCCCAUCACUUCUCUGCUCAGAGAGCAACAAGGACAUUACUUGAGAUAAGGCACAAGCAUUCACAUCCAGUUGGACAUGACUGCAUUCCUGUGCAGUGUCAGGAGGACUACUUCAGAGCCUUAUUCACUCCCUCAUCUAAUAAUGUUCCUAGCCAUACCCUAGGAUGGAUCACAGCAAUUUUUUGUAUAACUCUGGGAAAACUAAAAUUCAAAAUGGUGGAUAACACACGAAGGUCAUUUGAAUCUAAAAUCUUGUGUAUCUAAGACAAAUAUGUUUCCUGAAGUUACACAAACACACACACACACAUAGAAAAGCAUGUACACAUAUAUACAUGUGUACACACCAUACAAGAUUGCUGUAGGUGUGUCACACAUAUAAGUCUUUACAAUAAAAUUUUAGGACACAAUGAGCUUAUUAGAAUAAAUUUUAUAUACUAAAUGCCUGGUGAGAACCUUAUAUUAACUAGUAUUUUAUUUUAUUUGUUGGAGGUAAGUUAUAGUCUAAGCAAAUUGUGGGCAUAAAUGACUGUCUAUAGUUAGUUCUAAUGGGUUGCAUAUUACUAUUUUAUGCCUCUUUGAGGCACAAAGUACUUAUAUAGUUGUCCCACGGCCAUACAGAUUGUAAAUAGCAAGUUAGGAAUUUGAACUGAGAUGGUAUAUCUGAAGAGUCUGUGCUCUAGAUGGCUGUGUUAGCCACUAGAUUACCCACCAUAUUUGUGGAGUUUGAAAGUGGAUAUUCAUAGAAGCAAGGGGAGGGGGCUGCGAUAGGGGGUUUCUGGAGGGGAAACUGGG